UACGGAGGGGGCUAGCGUUGUUCGGAAUUACUGGGCGUAAAGCGCGCGUAGGCGGACCUGCAAGUCGGGGGUGAAAGCCCGAGGCUCAACCUCGGAACUGCCUCCGAUACUGCGGGUCUCGAGUCCGGGAGAGGUGAGUGGAAUUCCUAGUGUAGAGGUGAAAUGCGCAGAUAUCAGGAGGAACACCGGUGGCGAAGGCGCCACUCUGGGCCGGUACUGACGCUGAGGAGCGAAAGCGUGGGUAGCAAACAGG
rnacentral:rRNA from 1 species